UACAGAGGUCCCAAGCGUUGUUCGGAUUCACUGGGCGUAAAGGGUGCGCAGGUGGGUUUGCAAGUUCGAUGUGAAAGCCCCGGGCUUAACCCGGGAAUGGCAUUGGAUACUGCAGAUCUGGAGGAUCGGAGGGGGGACUGGAAUUCUUGGUGUAGCAGUGAAAUGCGUAGAUAUCAAGAGGAACACCAGUGGCGAAGGCGGCAUCCUGGACCGACAUUGACGCUGAGGCGCGAAAGCCAGGGGAGCAAACGGG
rnacentral:rRNA from 1 species